AUACUUUACGAGAGCUAAUUCAAAUGUUUAAUUUGGCUGACAGUUUUAUAUAUGACAGCUGGAGGAAAACAAACCCCCAAGUAGUGUGAGUGAAAUCGUUUGCAUAGAACUUUAUACUGUCAAGCUCGCCCAUUUACCCAGUCCUACCCAGCAAGACAGAGUCAGUUUAGCCCAUUUACCGCGCCCUUCUGAAAAUUAUGUACACAGUUUAGCCCUUUCGCAAAUGGUGGUUGCUGAAGGGCGAAAUCACGACUGGGAUGCAAAUUGGGCGUAAGCAUUUUAUUAGUUUCUACCCACUAAAAGCACAUAGGAAUUAAAUUCUUUGUUAUAUUGUCAUAAGGUUUAACCAAUGAUGCUUCCGGAAAAACAUGGUCAUAAAGUAAUGUAUACCUACAAUAAAAACUACAUUUAGAAAAGCAUCGCCGAAUAUUGAAACUGAUUUUUCUCCAUUUGAGUAGAUUGGGACUUAGGCCCUAAUGAAAGAUCUGUGUCGAAUGGUUGGUUUCAAAAUCGUCUAAUGAAGGACGUUCGUUGGACCAAUUUGGACAACGUCCAAAUAACCGUUCAACAAACGUCCAUCGUUGGACCCGUGUUGAACGAUUUUGAAACAAUUUUUUGGACGUCUCACUGGGUAGUGACAUCACUUUUUAACCACCAGGCUAGAACCUUCUUUAAGUUUAGAAAACAUUGCUUAAAACCAUAAUAUUAUUAUUUAUAUUUGAAAUUGUGCAUGGUUUAUGUUGUAUCAAAAUUUACUAGAAGUCGUUCUGAUCCGUUUCAAAUGUGUGAAUCUGUGAAUAUGUUUAAUUACAAAAUACGUUUUCCACUCACUAUAUAACCUUAUAUAAUCACAAAUCAUCCAAGUAAGGCCGGAUGCUGAUAAAUUUAACAUGAACGAAGAAACCUGCAAAAAUUAUAACCAAACAGCGAUUGCUCUUAAAGAUCUAGUAAUAGAUGCGGUAAAAUUUGACAUAAAUUGCCAAGAAAUUAAACGAAGCCAUUUUCCUAGCGAAGAGCGUCAAUUUGAACUCACUACACCGACCACUGAUGGUACCAGCACCGAAAAUCAUUGUCGGGUUUGUGAUAAACUGUUUUCCUCCAAACGUCAGCUUGCCGACCAUCGACGAAUACACAACAGUGCGAGGCGACACAAGUGUGCAUUUUGCGGUAAAUUGUUUAUGCAUAAAAGUAUUCUAGCAAUACACGAACGCAUCCAUACCGGUGAGAAACCAUACACUUGCGUUAUUUGUGGCAAAGACUUUGGCCGUUCAAAUGUCCUUGAUGACCAUAUGCGCAUUCAUACCGGCGAAGAAUGUUGCAGCUGCAAGGUAUGCGGUAAAGGCUUUAUUCAUCUCUCUAGUUUGAAGUACCACAUGCAAGUUCACACUGAAGAAAUGCAAAGGUGCACCGUUUGUGGUAGAGAAUAUCGCCACGCGGCGUCACUGAAAAUGCACAUGAAGAUACACACUGAUGAACCAUUGUUCAAAUGUGAUGUCUGCGGCCAAAAAUGUAUAAGCCAGUCCAAACUUCUUGGGCACAUGCGUACUCAUACCGGCGAAAAACCCUUCAAGUGUGAAAUUUGUGGCAAAGAAUAUUCCCAACAGAGCACACUGGUCUGCCACAUUCGAACGCAUACCGCCGAAAAGCCAUACAAAUGCGAGGUGUGUGGCACACUAUUCAACUACAGUCACUGUCUCACGAGACACGCCGAACUUCAUCGGGUCCCCCAGGAGCACAAAUGUGACGUCUGUGGUAAAGUGUUCCGUCUCAGUAGACAUUUGGCGAAACACAGCCGCACCCAUUCCAAGCAGCUGCCCUAUUCUUGCCGGUUCUGCGGUAAAGGAUGCUCGGAAAGGUAUGUGCUUGAUAUACACGAACGUGUCCACACUAGAGAACGACCGUUCGAAUGUGACCUGUGCGGGAAAAAAUUCGUCAGUGGCAAUACAUUAACGCAGCAUAAGCGCCAUCACAGCAAGCGGAAAGGGAAGCUCACGCUAGAAAGCGGUUAGUAUUGAUGCUUGGGAUGCUGAGUAUGUCAUGACGUGAAGGAUCACCUCUUCGUAUUCUGGAUAGGGUCGCCAGAUUGGAUUUCACUAACUGGCGCGAUGCAAAAAGAUUCACAAUUUGUAGCGAAAAAAAAGAUCAAUGGCAUAGUCGACUCCCUAAGGAUUAGAAGAGACCAAACAAUAGUGAUUGUUUUCAAGGAUGCUGUGAUUUAUCCAAUUAAACGACACUAACCAUGAAUGAAUGAAUAAGAUAUAUUUCAUCAGGAACGUAUGGUAUUUUACAUACAUACGUAGAGGAAGUCAAAGCUGUACGUAGUUUGCUUCAAUUGAUUCAAUUUGAAUUCUGUUAGUACGCAGUCUAUCACGACGGCUUUAGCCGGAAUGUACACGCGAUAUUCGUGGAUAAUUCGCAAAGGAAAAAUACGGAAGAAAGUGAUGCAUGCAAGAAGGUAAGAGA